UACGAAGGGGGCGAGCGUUGUUCGGAAUUACUGGGCGUAAAGCGUGCGCAGGCGGUCCGCAAAGUCUGAUGUGAAAGCCCCGGGCUCAACCUGGGAACUGCAUUGGAAACUAACGGGCUCGAGUGUGGCAGAGGGGGGUGGAAUUCCACGUGUAGCAGUGAAAUGCGUAGAGAUGUGGAGGAACACCGAUGGCGAAGGCAGCCCCCUGGGCUAACACUGACGCUCAGGCACGAAAGCGUGGGGAGCAAGCAGG
rnacentral:rRNA from 1 species